CAGCAGCCGCGGUAAUACGGAGGGGGCUAGCGUUGUUCGGAAUUACUGGGCGUAAAGCGCACGUAGGCGGCUUGGUAAGUUAGAGGUGAAAGCCUGGAGCUCAACUCCAGAAUUGCCUUUAAGACUGCCGAGCUAGUAGGUGAGAGAGGUAAGUGGAAUUCCGAGUGUAGAGGUGAAAUUCGUAGAUAUUCGGAAGAACACCAGUGGCGAAGGCGGCUUACUGGCUCAUUCUAGACGCUGAGGUGCGAAAGCGUGGGGAGCAAACAGGAUUAGAUACCCGCGUAGUCCCUGUCUCUUAUAC
rnacentral:rRNA from 1 species